GCCUCCGUAGCUCAAUGGCAGAGCAAUGGACUCUUAAUCCACAGGUUGCAGGUUCGAGUCCUGCCGGGGGCA
rnacentral:tRNA from 1 species